GCCGGUAUGGCUCAGUGGAUAGAGCGUCAGCCUGCAGACUGAAGGGUCCCAGGUUCGAUUCCGGUCAAGGGCA
rfam:Myotis davidii contig48954, whole genome shotgun sequence.